rnacentral:rRNA from 1 species
UGCCAGCCGCCGCGGUAAUACGGAGGGUGCAAGCGUUGUUCGGAAUUAUUGGGCGUAAAGCGCGUGUAGGCGGUUCGUUAAGCCUGAUGUGAAAUCCCAGGGCUCAACCCUGGAACUGCUCUUGAAACUGCAAGGCUAGAGUGAGUAAGAGGCGGACGGAAUUCCGAGUGUAGCAGUGAAAUGCGUAGAUAUUCGGAGGAACAUCGGUGGCGAAGGCGGUUCGCUGGUACUCUACUGACGCUGAGGCGCGAAAGCGUGGGGAGCAAACAGGAUUAGAUA